rnacentral:misc_RNA from 1 species
GCGGAGGGAUCAUUACCGAGUUUACAACUCCCAAACCCCUGUGAACAUACCACUUGUUGCCUCGGCGGAUCAGCCCGCUCCCGGUAAAACGGGACGGCCCGCCAGAGGACCCCUAAACUCUGUUUCUAUAUGUAACUUCUGAGUAAAACCAUAAAUAAAUCAAAACUUUCAACAACGGAUCUCUUGGUUCUGGCAUCGAUGAAGAACGCAGCAAAAUGCGAUAAGUAAUGUGAAUUGCAGAAUUCAGUGAAUCAUCGAAUCUUUGAACGCACAUUGCGCCCGCCAGUAUUCUGGCGGGCAUGCCUGUUCGAGCGUCAUUUCAACCCUCAAGCACAGCUUGGUGUUGGGACUCGCGUUAAUUCGCGUUCCCCAAAUUGAUUGGCGGUCACGUCGAGCUUCCAUAGCGUAGUAGUAAAACCCUCGUUACUGGUAAUCGUCGCGGCCACGCCGUUAAACCCCAACUUCUGAAUGUUGACCUCGGAUCAGGUAGGAAUACCCGCUGAACUU